CCAGCUCCAAUAGCGUAUAUUAAAGUUGUUGCAGUUAAAAAGCUCGUAGUUGGAUCUAGGGACGCGCAUUUCAAGCGCCCGUGUCGUCGGGUCAAACCGGCGACCUGCGUUGGCGUUGCGGGCUCGGUCCGUCGGUGCCCCACCAAAGGUUAUCGGCGUGUCAACCGGCCCGCCCGUCCCCUCCUUCUGGAUUCCCGUUCCUGCUAUUGAGUUAGUGGGGACGUCACAUCGGCGGUGGAUCUCUGGGGCCCAGAUCCGUUUACCGUGAAAAAAUUAGAGUGUUCAAAGCAGGCAGAUUCAAUUUUCUGCCACCGAAUACAUUAGCAUGGGAUAAUGGAAUAGGACCCCUGUCCUCCUAUUUUCAGUUGGUUUUGGCAGCGCGAGGACUAGGGUAAUGAUUAAUAGGGAUAGUUGGGGGGCAUUAAUAUUUAAUUGUCAGAGGUGAAAUUCUUGGAUUUAUGAAAGAUUAACUUU
rnacentral:rRNA from 1 species